UACGGGGGGAGCAAGCGUUGUUCGGAUUUACUGGGCGUAAAGGGCGCGUAGGCGGUCGUGACAAGUCACUUGUGAAAUCUCCGGGCUUAACUCGGAACGGUCAAGUGAUACUGUCGGACUAGAGUACAGAAGGGGCAACUGGAAUUCUCGGUGUAGCGGUGAAAUGCGUAGAUAUCGAGAGGAACACCGGUGGCGAAGGCGAGUCCCUGGACACUUCCUGACACUGAGGCACGAAAGCUAGGGGAGCAAACAGG
rnacentral:rRNA from 1 species